GGGGAUGUAGCUCAUAUGGUAGAGCGCUCGCUUUGCAUGCAAGAGGUACGAGGAUUGAUACCACGCAUCUCCA
rfam:Ipomoea nil DNA, scaffold: scaffold1317, cultivar: Tokyo-kokei standard.